rnacentral:misc_RNA from 1 species
CGAAAAUCCCCAUUCCGGAAGCAGUUCUUUCAGCUAUAUCAUUUGAGAUACCUUGCUAUAUCAAGUGACUCGUUAAAGAUCCUCCCUAAAUUCAUGGAGGACCUGUGGAAUCUACAAACCCUCAUAAUUUCGACUCAACAAGAGACAUUGAACAUAGAAGCAGACAUAUGUAACAUGCCACACCUUAGGCAUGUUCACACAAAUGCCUCUGGUAAAUUGUGUCCCUCUGUCCUAAAAACAAGAAAUCAUCGUAGUGCUUUACAAACGCUUUCUAUAAUAGAAGCUGAAACCUUGACAGAGGAUGUGUUUGCAAGGUGUCAAAAUCUGAAAAAGUUGGGUAUUCG